rnacentral:rRNA from 1 species
AUACGGAAGGUGCGAGCGUUAUCCGGAUUCAUUGGGUUUAAAGGGAGCGUAGGCGGAGCGCCAAGUCAGCUGUGAAAUCCCGCGGCUCAACCGUGGAACUGCAGUUGAAACUGGCGCCCUUGAGUGCACAUGAGGAUGGCGGAAUUCGUGGUGUAGCGGUGAAAUGCUUAGAUAUCACGAAGAACCCCGAUUGCGAAGGCAGCUGUCUGGGGUGCCACUGACGCUGAGGCUCGAAAGUGCGGGUAUCAAACAGGAUUAGAUACCCUGGUAGUCCGCACAGUAAACGAUUGACACUCGUGGUCGGCGACACGCUGCCGGUCACCAAGCGAAAGCGAUAAGUGUCCCACCUGGGGAGUACGCCGGCAACGGUGAAACUCAAAUGAAUUGGCGGGG